ACAAAGUCAAUUUGGUGCUCAAU
rnacentral:siRNA from 1 species